GGUUAAGCGACUAAGCGUACACGGUGGAUGCCCUGGCAGUCAGAGGCGAUGAAGGACGUGCUAAUCUGCGAUAAGCGUCGGUAAGGUGAUAUGAACCGUUAUAACCGGCGAUUUCCGAAUGGGGAAACCCAGUGUGAUUCGUCACACUAUCAUUAACUGAAUCCAUAGGUUAAUGAGGCGAACCGGGGGAACUGAAACAUCUAAGUACCCCGAGGAAAAGAAAUCAACCGAGAUUCCCCCAGUAGCGGCGAGCGAACGGGGAGGAGCCCAGAGCCUGAAUCAGUGUGUGUGUUAGUGGAAGCGUCUGGAAAGGCGCGCGAUACAGGGUGACAGCCCCGUACACAAAAAUGCACAUGCUGUGAGCUCGAUGAGUAGGGCGGGACACGUGGUAUCCUGUCUGAAUAUGGGGGGACCAUCCUCCAAGGCUAAAUACUCCUGACUGACCGAUAGUGAACCAGUACCGUGAGGGAAAGGCGAAAAGAACCCCGGCGAGGGGAGUGAAAAAGAACCUGAAACCGUGUACGUACAAGCAGUGGGAGCACGCUUAGGCGUGUGACUGCGUACCUUUUGUAUAAUGGGUCAGCGACUUAUAUUCUGUAGCAAGGUUAACCGAAUAGGGGAGCCGAAGGGAAACCGAGUCUUAACUGGGCGUUAAGUUGCAGGGUAUAGACCCGAAACCCGGUGAUCUAGCCAUGGGCAGGUUGAAGGUUGGGUAACACUAACUGGAGGACCGAACCGACUAAUGUUGAAAAAUUAGCGGAUGACUUGUGGCUGGGGGUGAAAGGCCAAUCAAACCGGGAGAUAGCUGGUUCUCCCCGAAAGCUAUUUAGGUAGCGCCUCGUGAAUUCAUCUCCGGGGGUAGAGCACUGUUUCGGCAAGGGGGUCAUCCCGACUUACCAACCCGAUGCAAACUGCGAAUACCGGAGAAUGUUAUCACGGGAGACACACGGCGGGUGCUAACGUCCGUCGUGAAGAGGGAAACAACCCAGACCGCCAGCUAAGGUCCCAAAGUCAUGGUUAAGUGGGAAACGAUGUGGGAAGGCCCAGACAGCCAGGAUGUUGGCUUAGAAGCAGCCAUCAUUUAAAGAAAGCGUAAUAGCUCACUGGUCGAGUCGGCCUGCGCGGAAGAUGUAACGGGGCUAAACCAUGCACCGAAGCUGCGGCAGCGACGCUUAUGCGUUGUUGGGUAGGGGAGCGUUCUGUAAGCCUGCGAAGGUGUGCUGUGAGGCAUGCUGGAGGUAUCAGAAGUGCGAAUGCUGACAUAAGUAACGAUAAAGCGGGUGAAAAGCCCGCUCGCCGGAAGACCAAGGGUUCCUGUCCAACGUUAAUCGGGGCAGGGUGAGUCGACCCCUAAGGCGAGGCCGAAAGGCGUAGUCGAUGGGAAACAGGUUAAUAUUCCUGUACUUGGUGUUACUGCGAAGGGGGGACGGAGAAGGCUAUGUUGGCCGGGCGACGGUUGUCCCGGUUUAAGCGUGUAGGCUGGU
rnacentral:rRNA from 1 species